AGCCUAGUGUGGCCUGGAUAAGCAAGGGUUACAUGUUGAACCAAAUUCAGCUGAGACCUCUGGGUGUUACUGACCCAACCUCUACACUUUGGUCGGCUAUUUUCGCAGGGGUAAAAUCUAGAGCUGCUAAGAUAGACGAAACCAUGACCAUGACAAGCACGUGGACCAGGCCACAAUUGUACAAAGGGGACAUUGAUGCUAAGGAUGUGCAUCCUGCCAAAGCCUGCAUUGCCUCCAUUUCUUCCACAUCAUCCGCAGACCUCGUCCGCUUGCCUGAAACUCCUGACCUUUCCCCUCUUGGGCUGCCUCAAGUCUGCAUAAGUGAUGCGCAAGGAACCUGUCCCUACCGGGACUGAAGAGGAGACAGGUGAUGACACAUCCUUCUUCACGUGCUUCCCGUUUGCCUCCUCCCCUCAUUUCCGACUUGGACUUGGACUUCUCAUAACCUUUCCAGGUGCUGCCUCGUUGCACAGCAUCUCUUGCCAUCUCGCCUCUCUUCCCAGUUCAACAGUUUUGGACAACUCGAGAAAUUCAGGUUGGCCAGGAAGGUCAGUUCCAACUGGAUAGCCCUCAGGCUUAAGUCCUUUAAGCAAAUCCAAGUAAAGUGGAUAUAGACUUCACAGUCCUUAAGCUCAGAAAUAUAGAAUGGAGUCUCCUGGGGGGAAUGACAUUUUUUACAUCCUUUUUUGUAAGUUUUAUUGAAGUAGAGUUGAGUUACAUUGUUGUGAUCAUUUCUUCUCGACAACAAAGUGACUCAGUCAUACGUACACACACAUCCAUUCUCAUUUAGAUUCUUUUCCCACAUUGAUGAUCACAGAACACUCAUUGGGUAGAGUUCUCUGGGCUCUACAGCAGGUCCCCAUUGGCCAGGCGUUCCAUGUACCUCAAUGUGCAUAACGUUUAUUUCUGGUCUUGAGCUGCCACUCUUUCAGAUACAGAAAAAGGGAUCUCAUGACUUUAAGGUAAAUUCUGUCAGCUUUUGUAAUUUCUC